GGAAGGGCUUGGUCUCCUUCUCUGCUAUGGCCUAUGCAGGCCUGCAGCUCCUUGCGCUGGCUCGGUUGAGAUGGUGUCCACACGGCACCCACCGCGGACAGGCCUGCUCCGGGACACCUGUUGAGAGAUUGGGAUGGUGGGGCUGGAGGAGCAGGGAGGCAGCAUCCAGGCUCGGGUUUGAGCAGCCAGUGGCUGCCCGGAGCUCAGCCUGUGUGUGUCACAGAGGCCUCACCUGUGGGCCUGAAGGCUGCUGUGGAGUGGAAGGGAGCCAUCCAUUAAUACCCUGAUGUCCCCAGAGCACUCUAAAGACAUGUCAGAAAUUGUGGGUCUGUUAUUAGCAGCUCAGUCCAUCACAUUCACUGUUGCAGUGCUUCCCCUCCUUCACAUAAUCCUAAUGUGUUACUGUCGUCUCAAGAAAACUGAGGCCAACAGAGGUCCUGCAGCUGAGGGUGGUUCCGCCACAGCAGGCAAGUGGAAGGGGCCGGAUUUGAACCUGGGCAGCGUGGCUCCCAAGUCCGCUUCUUCACCAGCCCCUGUGCUGUCCUGCUUGCUGGCCACCCCGCGGCCGUUUUGUCGCCGUCUCUUGGGCUGGCGGCAUGAGCAGGAAGCGUGGUAUGUCGGUUUCAGAGCACACCGCGCGGAGCCCCCCGCAGCAGCUUCGUUCGUGCCAGGGCUGGGGGUGCACGGAGUAGCGGCCAGGAGUAGCGGGGGAGACGUCUGCUCGGAGUGAGGCGGUGCCAUCGCACCAGGGAGUGCGCUCUUCAGUCAGCCCGUGUGUCAGCUCUGGGCUGGGAUCAACCCCUGUUCCCAGCUAGGGCCUGACUCCAUGAGGGGGUCUGAAGACGCUAUCUGAGUUUGCAUAGGGAAGUAUGUUUUUUUCUUCAAAGAAAAUGGAUAAGAGGGUUCUCUUUCCACUUGGGAAAUUCAGGUCAAGUUAGAUGCGAUCCAGUCUUUUGAAUUUUGACCCGAUUGACACAGAUUUUCUGAAUGGCGCUUAGGAGGAGCUUCUGGGCGGUUCCGUUUCCUUGCACCCUUGUCAGGUUUUUUAUGAUUAGCUGCAUGGUCGUUCUUCCCGAUGGGUCUGUUGUGUGUUGCUGCUGAAGUGUGCCCUGCCAGCCCCUGCUUUCUUUUCCCUUCUUGUCUCUUGGGCUCAGCAGCCUAGAAAUGAGCGGACUCCUGCCCGGGAUGGGAUCAGUUUUGGCCGUAGGUAGAGGAUAAAGAUAGCAUCACCCCUUUCGGUUUCCAUGUUGGCUGAGAACAGCUGCAGCGCUUCGUAUAGCUCUGAACAUAACAUCUCAUUCCAGAGUCACUGAAGUUUUUAGUUUUCUGCAAGCCAGGGCUUAACCACGGGGUUUUCACAUUCAGACUCAGUUGCUUGUUCAGUUGAGUAAUUUAAGAGAACAGAGAUGAUGGCGGGGGAGGGAGGAGACCAUUUGUGUGUUUCUCCAGAGAGCCAGGUCCUUCCUCUCGUUCAUCACUUUCAGCAGUUUUAAUUUGUUGAGGUGCUCUAGCAGGGGUGUAGAUAAUUGAAGUUAAUCUUGAGUCAGGUCUAAACAAAAGAGAAAACUGACCUGAAAAAGAACAACUGAAGUCACACUAAUUGAAUCACUGGGCCCUGCAUGCGGGUCUGCUGGGACCAGCUGACCUUGGGAUGCAGUGCCCAUGCUCAGGGUGGGCCGCAUGCCUCUCAGGAAUGGCUGACUCUCGGGUCCCCAACAGUUCCCGGCUGCAUUCCACACCGAGGAGCAUCUGGGUGAGAGUUGCAAAGUUCAGCCCUGGUGAAAAAAAACACCAUGAAAGCCAUUUGGAGUGGGUUGGGCGUUUGGAGGUUUCUCUCUCCCCUCGCAGACCUGGCGCCCUCGCUGUUUGUAGAUGGCAUACACUUGUUUACUGGUGAGGGGAGUAGCUGCUUGUGUGAAUCAG
ensembl:lncRNA